ACCAGUUUGACCAGUUCAACCAGAGCAGAUCAAUGGAGAUGGUCUGUUAUUGAAGAGAACAAUGUCAGUUGGUGAGGUUCACAGACCAUGUCAGUUGGUGAUGGGAUUUGACCCAGUUCUGAGAGGAGAUCAAUUGGAUUAAAAAAAGAUGGUGAUAAAAUCAUAUGUUGACUUGAGGUCAUUAGUUCCAGUUCAUUAGUUCCAGUUCAUUAGUUCCAGGUCAUUAGUUCCAGGUCACUAGUGUUCUGUCAGUAGAUCGAGGUGUAAAGAGGUGAGGUCGAUGGAGGCCCGGUUCUUAGGAGGGCAGAGCUGACGGGGCUCUGUCGGCGUCGGCAGCCGUC